AGUGGCGGACGGGUGAGUAACGCGUGAGAAUCUGCCCUUAGGAGGGGGACAACACUGGGAAACUGGUGCUAAUACCCCAUAUGCCGAGAGGUGAAAUAUGUUUUGCCUGAGGAUGAGCUCGCGUCAGAUUAGCUAGUUGGUGAGGUAAGAGCUCACCAAGGCGACGAUCUGUAGCUGGUUUGAGAGGAUGAUCAGCCACACUGGGACUGAGACACGGCCCAGACUCCUACGGGAGGCAGCAGUGGGGAAUUUUCCGCAAUGGGCGAAAGCCUGACGGAGCAAGACCGCGUGCGGGAUGACGGCCUGUGGGUUGUAAACCGCUUUUCUCUAGGAAGAAGAUCUGACGGUACUAGAGGAAUAAGCCUCGGCUAACUCCGUGCCAGCAGCCGCGGUAAUACGGAGGAGGCAAGCGUUAUCCGGAAUUAUUGGGCGUAAAGCGUCCGUAGGUGGCGAUUCAAGUCUGCUGUCAAAGCCCGGGGCUUAACCCUGGAGAGGCAGUGGAAACUGAGUAGCUAGAGUAUGGUAGGGGUAGAGGGAAUUCCCAGUGUAGCGGUGAAAUGCGUAGAUAUUGGGAAGAACACCGGUGGCGAAAGCGCUCUACUGGGCCAUAACUGACACUGAUGGACGAAAGCUAGGGGAGCGAAAGGGAUUAGAUACCCCUGUAGUCCUAGCCGUAAACGAUGGAUACUAGGUGUU
rnacentral:rRNA from 1 species